rnacentral:rRNA from 1 species
GACGAACGCUGGCGGCGUGCCUAAUACAUGCAAGUCGAGCGAACAGAUCUGGUGCUUCCUCUUCUGACGUUAGCGGCGGAUGGGUAAGGAACACGUGGAUAGUCUGUCUACAACACCGGGAUAACGUCGGAAAACCGGAGCUAAUACCGGAUAAUAUAUUGAACUGCAUGGUUCAAUAGUGAAAGACGAAUUUGCUGCCACUGAUAGAUGGAUCCGCGCCGCAUUAGCUAGUUGUUAAGGUAACGGCUUACCACGGCAACGAUGCGUAGCCGACCUGAGAGUGUGAUCGGCCACAGUGGAACUGAGACACGGUCCAGACUCCGACGGGUGGCAGCAGUAGGGAUGCUGCCGCAAUGGCAGAGGGCGUGACGCAGCAGCACCGCGUGAGUGAGGAAGAUCUUCGGAUCGUGAUUCUCUGUUAUUAGCGAACGCCAAAUAUGUAAGUAGUUGUGCACGUGGUGACGGUACCUAAUCAGAAAGCCACGGCUAACUACGUG